rnacentral:rRNA from 1 species
GUCUAUAGACAUACCAUCCUGAACACACCUGAUCUUGGAAGCUAAGCAGGGUUGGGCCUGGUUAAUACUUGAACGGGAGACCACCUGGAAGCACAGCGUGCUGUAAGGC